GACGAACGCUGGCGGCGUGUUUAACACAUGCAAGUCGAACGGAAAGGCCCUGCUUGCAGGGUACUCGAGUGUCGCACGGGUGAGUAACACGCGGGUGAUCUGCGCUUCACUUCGGGAUAAGCCUGGUAAACUGGGUCUAAUACCGGACAGGAGCCAUCUGUAGGGUGAUGGUUGGAAAGUAUUUUCGGUGUAGGAUGAGCUCGCGCCCUACCAGCUUGUUGGUGGGGGAAUGGCCUACCAAGGCGGCGACGGGUAGCCGGCCUGGGAGGGUGGACGGCCACGUUGGGACUGGGAUACGGCCCAGACUCCUACGGGAGGGAGCAGUGGGGAAUGGUGCACAAUGGGCGCGAGCCUGAUGCAGCGACGCCGCGUGGGGGAUGACGGCCUUCGGGUUGGAAACGCCUUUCGCUAGGGACGAAGCUUUUUGUGACGGUACCUAGAUAAGAAGCACCGGCUAACUACGUG
rnacentral:rRNA from 1 species